GACGAACGCUGGCGGCGUGCCUAAUACAUGCAAGUAGAACGCUGAAGGAGGAGCUUGCUUCUCUGGAUGAGUUGCGAACGGGUGAGUAACGCGUAGGUAACCUGCCUGGUAGCGGGGGAUAACUAUUGGAAACGAUAGCUAAUACCGCAUAAGAUUGACUAUUGCAUGAUAGUCAGUUAAAAGGUGCAAUUGCAUCACUACCAGAUGGACCUGCGUUGUAUUAGCUAGUUGGUGGGGUAACGGCUCACCAAGGCGACGAUACAUAGCCGACCUGAGAGGGUGAUCGGCCACACUGGGACUGAGACACGGCCCAGACUCCUACGGGAGGCAGCAGUAGGGAAUCUUCGGCAAUGGACGGAAGUCUGACCGAGCAACGCCGCGUGAGUGAAGAAGGUUUUCGGAUCGUAAAGCUCUGUUGUAAGAGAAGAACGAGUGUGAGAGUGGAAAGUUCACACUGUGACGGUAUCUUACCAGAAAGGGACGGCUAACUACGUG
rnacentral:rRNA from 1 species